CAUUUUUGAGAAACCCAAUGCAAAUACUAUAAGUGUUACAAGGCUUAAUAAGCCCUCAAAAAUAA
rnacentral:tRNA from 1 species